UGAGGGCGGGCGGGUGGCGGGGCAGCCAGCCUCGCCGUCCGUUUCGCGCCGCCGGCCCACGCCGCAGUGUGUGUUGUGGACGGCACCUUCUCAGACAGCCCGGUAGAGCCCAGCUCGGCGCCCGGCAGCCUUCGACGCGAUGUUCCGCCGGAGCUUUAACCGUUUUUGUGCUGGAGAAGAGAAACGAGUUGGUACACGCACAGUAUUUGUUGGCAAUCAUCCAGUUUCAGAAACAGAAGCAUACAUUGCACAAAAAUUUUGUGAUAAUAGAAUAGUCUCAUCUAAGUAUACACUUUGGAAUUUCCUCCCAAAGAAUCUGUUUGAACAGUUUAGAAGAAUUGCAAAUUUUUAUUUUCUCAUCAUUUUUCUUGUACAGGUCACAGUAGACACACCAACUAGCCCAGUUACCAGUGGACUUCCACUUUUCUUUGUUAUAACUGUUACAGCCAUCAAACAGGGAUAUGAGGAUUGGCUGAGGCACAGAGCUGACAAUGAAGUCAACAAGAGCACUGUUUACAUUAUUGAAAAUGCAAAGCGAGUGAGAAAAGAGAGUGAAAAAAUCAAGGUCGGUGAUGUAGUAGAAGUACAGGCAGAUGAAACCUUUCCCUGUGAUCUUAUUCUUCUGUCAUCCUGCACAAUUGAUGGAACCUGUUAUGUUACUACUGCAAGUCUUGAUGGGGAAUCCAAUUGCAAGACACAUUAUGCGGUACGUGACACCAUUGAACUGUGUACAGCCGAAUCCAUUGAUGCCCUCAGAGCAGCAAUUGAAUGUGAACAGCCUCAACCUGACCUCUACAAGUUUGUUGGCCGAAUCAAUAUCUAUAGUAAUAGUCUUGAAGCUGUUGCCAGGUCUUUGGGACCUGAAAAUCUCUUGUUGAAAGGAGCUACACUAAAAAAUACCAAGAAGAUAUAUGGAGUUGCUGUUUACACUGGAAUGGAAACCAAAAUGGCAUUGAACUACCAAGGGAAAUCUCAGAAACGUUCCGCUGUUGAAAAAUCCAUUAAUGCCUUCCUGAUUGUGUAUUUAUUUAUCUUACUGACCAAAGCUGCAGUAUGCACUACUCUAAAGUAUGUUUGGCAAAGUACCCCAUAUAACGAUGAACCUUGGUAUAACCAAAAGACCCAGAAAGAGCGCGAGACUUUGAAGGUUUUGAAAAUGUUUACCGACUUCCUGUCAUUUAUGGUUCUGUUCAACUUUAUCAUUCCUGUCUCCAUGUAUGUCACAGUAGAAAUGCAAAAAUUCUUGGGCUCCUUCUUCAUUUCAUGGGAUAAGGACUUUUAUGAUGAAGAAAUCAAUGAAGGAGCCCUGGUUAACACUUCAGACCUUAAUGAAGAACUUGGUCAGGUGGAUUAUGUAUUUACUGAUAAGACUGGAACACUCACUGAAAAUAGCAUGGAAUUCAUUGAAUGCUGCAUAGAUGGGCAUAAGUAUAAAGGUGUAACUCAGGAGGCUGAUGGACUCUCUCAAACUGAUGGACCCUUACCGUAUUUUGACAAAGCAGAUAAGAAUCGAGAAGAGCUCUUUCUGCGUGCCUUGUGUUUAUGUCAUACUGUAGAAAUUAAAACAAAUGAUGCUGUUGAUGGAGUUACAGAAUCAGCUGAAUUAACGUAUAUGUCCUCUUCACCAGAUGAAAUAGCUUUGGUCAAAGGAGCUAAAAGGUAUGGGUUCACGUUUGUAGGAAUGCGGAAUGGUCAUAUGAGAGUAGAGAACCAAAGAAAAGAAAUAGAAGAGUAUGAACUUCUUCACACCUUGAACUUCGAUUCUGUCCGCCGUCGUAUGAGUGUGGUUGUGAAAACUCAAUCAGGAGACAUACUUCUCUUUUGUAAAGGAGCCGACUCAGCAGUUUUCCCCAGGGUGCAAAAUCAUGAAAUUGAGUUAACUAAAGUCCAUGUGGAACGUAACGCAAUGGAUGGGUAUCGGACACUUUGUGUAGCCUUCAAAGAAAUUGCUCCAGAUGAUUAUGAAAGAAUUAACAGACAGCUCAUAGAGGCAAAAAUGGCCUUACAAGACAGAGAAGAAAAAAUGGAAAAGGUUUUUGAUGAGAUUGAGACAAACAUGAAUUUAAUUGGAGCCACUGCAGUGGAAGACAAGCUACAAGAUCAAGCCGCUGAGACCAUUGAAGCCCUGCACGCAGCAGGUCUGAAAGUCUGGGUGCUUACUGGGGACAAGAUGGAGACAGCCAAAUCUACCUGCUAUGCCUGCCGCCUUUUUCAAACCAGCACGGAGCUCUUGGAACUGACCACCAAAACCAUCCAAGAAAGCGAACGGAAGGAAGAUCGAUUACAUGAGUUGUUGAUUGAAUAUCGUAAAAAGUUGCUGCAUGAAUUUCCUAAAAGUACUAGAAGCCUUAAAAAAGCAUGGACAGAACAUCAGGAAUAUGGAUUAAUCAUUGAUGGCUCCACGUUGUCUCUCAUAUUAAAUUCUAGUCAAGACUCUGGUUCUAACAAUUACAAAAGCAUUUUCCUACAAAUUUGUAUGAAGUGCACUGCAGUGCUCUGCUGUCGGAUGGCACCGUUACAGAAAGCCCAGAUUGUGAGAAUGGUGAAGAAUUUAAAAGGCAGCCCAAUAACACUGUCGAUAGGUGAUGGUGCCAAUGAUGUUAGUAUGAUCUUGGAAUCCCAUGUGGGCAUAGGUAUCAAAGGCAAAGAAGGUCGCCAAGCAGCCAGGAAUAGUGAUUAUUCUGUCCCAAAGUUUAAACAUUUAAAGAAACUGCUGUUGGCUCACGGACACCUCUAUUAUGUGAGAAUAGCACACCUUGUACAGUAUUUCUUCUAUAAGAACCUUUGUUUCAUUUUGCCACAAUUUUUGUACCAGUUCUUCUGUGGAUUCUCACAACAGCCACUGUAUGAUGCCGCUUACCUUACAAUGUACAAUAUCUGCUUCACGUCCUUGCCCAUCCUGGCCUACAGCCUACUGGAACAGCACAUCAACAUUGACGCUCUGACCUCAGAUCCCCGAUUGUAUAUGAAAAUUUCUGGAAAUGCCAUGCUACAGUUGGGCCCCUUCUUAUAUUGGACAUUUCUGGCUGCAUUUGAAGGAACAGUGUUCUUCUUUGGGACUUAUUUUCUUUUUCAGACUUCAUCCUUAGAAGAAAAUGCAAAGGUAUAUGGAAACUGGACUUUUGGAACCAUUGUUUUUACAGUCUUAGUAUUCACCGUAACUCUGAAGCUCGCCUUGGAUACUCGUUUCUGGACAUGGAUAAACCACUUUGUGAUUUGGGGUUCUUUAGCGUUUUAUGUAUUUUUCUCAUUCUUCUGGGGAGGAAUUAUAUGGCCUUUUCUCAAACAACAGAGAAUGUAUUUUGUAUUUGCUCAAAUGCUGUCUUCUGUAUCCACAUGGUUGGCCAUAGUUCUUCUAAUAUUUAUCAGCCUUUUCCCUGAGAUUCUCCUGAUAGUAUUAAAGAAUGUAAGAAGAAGAAGUGCCAGGAGAAAUCUGAGCUGUAAAAAGGCAUCUGACUCAUUAUCCACCAGACCUUCAGUCAGACCUCUUCUUUUACGAACAUUCUCAGACGAAUCUAAUAUAUUGUAACAGAAUCCGAAUCUUGAACUGCCUAUGUUAUUGUCCUACAAGCAUAUUGACAGUGGUUACAGCUAAAAGAAAGCAUGAAGAAGCAACUACAAAAAGUUAUCAUCUCAGGAUACUUGAUAUGCAACAAACUAAACCACUAUCUUAUGUCUAAGGUUCAGAGUAAAUGUCCACUAAGAUACCAAAUGACUCUCUUAAGCAUUUACAGUUAUCCCUGUUAAGACGCUGCCUCACUGUGGAGUCUGCCCAGGAUUGGCCAAUAAAGUAAGUAUUGUGAGGGGCUGAGUGGUUUGGCCCCUUCAACAAGAAGCACAUGCAAAGGUUAGGGGCUGAGGUUAUCACUAUGGUUAUUCAGUGAAUGUGUCCGCAGCUGAAGUGCUGGAUGCAUACUAAUGAAGCUUGAAAGCCUGAGUUGUGGGAAUAGUUGUCAGGAAAAUGGGGGGCUUAAUUAUUUCACAACAUUUUUUAAUUAAUUUGACACGUAUUUCCCAGCAACUGACGGGUAAGGAAAUGUGGCCUCAGUUCCUAGUACGUGGACCUAUUGUGGACCAAGCAAGUCCUCAUCUCAUGGGCUUAGGAGCAAGUGCUAUGAGCAGGCCUCUGGCUGAAAGAACAGUGCACCUCUUGGUGGAGCAGAAUGCCUGCUAGCCAAAGGUCUUUGGCCCUGGCUCUUUGGGUGGAGAGGGGCAAUGGAUGUUCAUAGCUAAAAUGCCUGCUGCUUCUUUGAUCUCUUCAUCAGUUUGUUAGGAUAUAUUUCCUACCAGUAAAACCACUAAAAUCCCAACUCCUCAUAUAAGCUAACACUUAGAUAGCAUUUACUAUGUGCCAGGCACUGUUCCAAUAACUUUACAUAUAUUCGCUCCUUUAAUAAUCCCGACAACCCUAUGAAAUAGGUAUUAACAUUUCUCCAUCUGACAGAUAAGGAAACUGAGUCACCAGCCAAGGUCACACAGUCUGGUAGAACCAGAAUUUAAACCCAGUUCUUCUGACUAGGGUCCAGGCACUUAACCAGGACACUGCAUUUCCAUCAUUAUAUCACCUUUGAUGGCCUGAAUAAAUAAUCACAACAUUAAUGCAAAAUGUUAAUGUCAGCCAUGAGACAGCAUCAGACAGAUCCAAACUGAGGGAUAUUCUACACUUUAACUGGCUUGUAAUCUUCAAAAUUAUUAACAUGAUUAAAGACGAAGACCCAGAAAUUCCCAGAUCAAGGAAAUGAAGAUGACAUAACAAGUGCAGCGUACGGUCCUCAGUUGGAUCCUGGACCAGAAAUUGGACAUUAGUGGAGUAACUGAUGAAGUUUGACUGUGGUAUAUAGGUUAUAUCAAUGUUAAUUUCCUGAUUUUUGAAAUUGUGCUGUGAUUAUAUUUGGGGGGAUCUGAGUGGAGAGUAUAUGGGAAUUCUUUGUACUAUUUUUGCAACUUAAGUCUGAAAUUAUUUCAAAAUUAUAAUUUGAAAAGUAAAGCUAAAACAUAAUGAAGCAUACUAAUAUUAAUGGGAGAGGGCAUUAAAUUGAGCUGACUAUAGAAGACUAAAAUAUAAUUUAUUAACAAAUAUCUGCAUAGCACUUUACCGAAUGCUUCUGCAUACCUCAAUUAAUCUUCACAACAGCUCUGUGUAGAGAUCAUUAAAUUCCAGAUUCUUAAAGAUAAAGAAACUGGGGCUCAGGACUUCCCUGGCAGUCCAGUGGUUAAGACUCUGCGCUUCCACUGCAGGGGGCAUGGGUUCCAUCUCUGGUCAGAGAACUAAGAUCCCACAUGCCACGCAGCCAAAAAAACUAAACGAACAAAAAAAGAGAAAAAGAAACUGGGGCUUAGAUAAGUUAAUUAUCUUGUCCCUGGUCCCUCAGGACUGAACCUAGGUCUGAUCCACGUGUUUCCCCCUACACUGCACUGCGGCUUGUCUAGGAUUCCUAAAGCAUGUCCUGCUGGAGUCUACGAUCAUUUAAAAGAAAAUCUUUCUGCAGUCAUUUUUCCUGUAGGUUCAUCUGGAUACGUUGGUCUACCCCAGGUCAAACCAUGAAUGAGACUCAUGCCAAUGCCCUUAAGGUUGAGGUGGGUGCCCUCAGAAUGCCCUAGGCCCAGGUUUUCCCUUCCAUCUAAUUUGAUGUUGAACUAGGUUUCCCUCAUGUUUUUCAGGUGGUUCCCGAGGCAAGUUUUAUCCUCCUAAACCAGCUUCCCCCCAUCUGAGUGAGAAUACAAAUAAGCUCCUUCAAUUUAAUAAUGAGGCGUCAGGCUAGCCACCUGGUAUCUAAAAUACGUACAUCGCUUAAAGUAAGAAUGUGGGAAUGUUGCCGGCAAUCUCCAUCUCAAAUUAUUCUACCCCACUCCUAGCAAAAGGCUGGCUGAGAUGGCUGUUGUUUAGUAUUUCCCAAACUGGGUUGUAUGAAGCAUUAAGAGUCCUGGGAAAUGUUAUUAGAAAGUCCUUGAAAAAGGGGGUUCCCUGGUUAACUAACUUUGGGAAGUUCUGUGUAUGAUUGCCCUAAGUUACAAUGCAUACUAGAACAUUAAACUCUAUGAGAGAUCUAAUAUUAAACCCAUUUGACUUCUUUUAACCCACUAUGUUCCAAAUACUGGACCAAGGAAACCUUUUUGCAUAGAUCACCUAAUAACAAAUCGUCGGACACCAGUUUUCCAUGGAACACCCUUUCUUCCCCACUCAGUUGAUGGAGUUCAUUUUCAUGAUCUGAGAAAGAUGUAAAUGAAGACAGUUUUCAAGGCAAAAGCCUCAAACUCCAAAGUAGAAAGAUGGCAGAGGGGCACAGCCAACUGGGGCUCUUUGUAAAGCAGCCCAGAGAUUAGAAAGAGUAGGAGGCCAGAACCACUCAGGCUGAGGGGACGAAAAGAAGGUGGCGAUCCUGGAUGCUGUGGCCUGGUCACUUGGCAGAAACAGGAAUCAUGGUGGACCUACCUGGAGCGGCUGGAACAACAGCAGACUCAGCCACUGUUAAAGAUGCAACCUGAGAGCUGCCAGCUUCGAGUCUGCUGGUGUUCUUUUCUCCAUCCCUGGAUCUUCUGUGCAGUGAGCUCACUGGGGACAGGAAACCAUACUGGAAGGGUGAAGGGGUGGUUUCAGUUUUCCAGCCACUGAAGUCUUUGACUACAAUGGAUAAAUUCAAUUCAGAGGCACCGGAUACCACGUCACCUUCUCCUGAUGACACUGGGUCAUUUCUGGAGUUCCAGCACAGUGCUGGGCAAGAAGUGCCGUGGUUCCCACGUUUGUGCGCCUCCGCAUUGCAUGGCUUUAAGAGGAUACCGGAUUUCUUUCUAUAGUCCUGGCACCUCCCUUGAAGCUCUCACCAUCAGCUAUUAGUUUUUUAUGUUUUGUUUUGUUUUGUUUUUGCGGUACGUGGGCCUCUCACUGCUGUGGCCUCUCCCAUUGCGGAGCACAGGCUCCGGACAUGCAGCCUCA